ACUUUUUAUCAUGUUGGUCUACAUCUUCAUGUUGGUCUACAUCUUCAUGUUGGUCUAGCAUGAAGAUGUAGACCAACAUGAAGAUAAGAUGUAGACCAAAUAAUGGCUGGUCUACAUGUACAUGUCUACCAUGAAGAUGUAGACCAACAUGAAGAUGUAGACCAACAUGAAGAUGUAGA
rnacentral:pre_miRNA from 1 species